rnacentral:lncRNA from 1 species
CUACCACAUUAUUCUACCUUUAUAAGACUAUCACAUUAUUCUACCUUCAUAUAGACUAUCACAUUAUUCUACCUUUAUAUAGACUAACACAUUAUUCUACCUUUAUAUAGACUAUCACAUUAUUCUACCUUCAUAUAGACUAACACAUUAUUCUACCUUUAUAUAGACUAACACAUUAUUCUACCUUUUCACCAUUCGCAAUGCAUGUAGAUCCAUAUAAUCACACGUAGAAUCUCUCUGUUUAUCAAUUAUGUAAAUCACAUAAUACAACAGGUGUUGACUACCAUGAAAUGCUUGCUUACGAACCCCUGUCAACGAUGCAGAGUUAAAAUAGACUAAGACUAGUAGAAUCAAAUUAGUAGAAACUAGUAGAAUCAAAUUAUAUACAGAGAGUUCCAGUAUCAGCUCAAUGUGCAGAGGUACAGGGUAAAGUGACUAGACAUCAGGAUAGAUAAUAAUAAGGUAUUUGAGGUAGAUAUAUACAUGAAGGCAGGGUAAAGUGACUAGACAUCAGGAUAGAUAAUAAUAAGGUAUUUGAGGUAGAUAUGUACAUGAAGGCAGGGUAAAGUGACUAGGCAUCAGGAUAGAUAAUAAUAAGGUAUUUGAGGUAGAUAUGUACAUGAAGGCAGGGUAAAGGGAUUAGUCAUCAGGAUAGAUAAUAAUACAAGUCAAAUAAAGAGUAGCAGCAUAUGAUGCAUGUGAAUGUGUGUGUAUGUAUGUGUGUGGCUCGGUUUACAUGUCUGUGUUUUGUGUGUAUUUGUGUAUAUACACUGUAAACCUCAAUGUGAUGUCAUUACUCAAAACUUUUGGAGGAAACCCGUGGCACUUUAUAAUAUAUCUGAGUCCAGUUACUUACAUUGAUUUUGAAUGUCAUUACUCGAUAAAGUCACUGUGAUUCCAACUGCAGGAGCCUGUUGGUCUGAGAGCCGAUGCUCCGGUAUUGUUUGCCGGAUGGUAGCAGGAUGAACCGUCU